rnacentral:pre_miRNA from 1 species
UUUUUUGAUUUCACCUAAAUAGAGCCCCAUUUGAUUUCACCUCAAAAAAAAAAUGGGGCUCUAUUUAGGUGAAAUCAAAUGGGGCUCUAUUUAGGUGAAAUCAAAU